rnacentral:tRNA from 1 species
GCCAGCGUAGCUCAGUGGUAGAGCAACUCUUUUGUAAAGAGUAGGUCGUCGGUUCGAAUCCGACCGCUGGCU